AAACACCUCAGUGCGUGGCAUCACAGGGCCCAGCACCCGCCGCGUGGGGGAGCCCAGCAGCCCCACACCCCACCGGCGCCGAACCACUUUUUGGUGGCGCCAGGGCCAGGUACCCUACGACGUGGGGUGGGGGGGGGGUGAGAGCGAUUCGUGGCUACUGACGCCGGCGGCCCGGUCCUGGAUGACGUGGCGUCGGGGCGGCCUGCGACAGGGCACGCGUGUGUGCCACCCAUAUGCGUGUUAAAGUGUCGGCGCGACCCGUGCGUGCCCAAUCCACCCCGGAAAAAAGAUGAUAAACCACUCUUGCAUCCGAACGAAGGCGAACACAACGAGUGGCGCCCCCGCUGUCGUGGUACUCGGAUGCCAAGGGCUUAGCACCGGUCGGGCUCCGCACUAUGAGGUUUGAGCGCGCCCUGCUCUGCCUCUUCACAGCUGAACACGCGAUUCCUGCUCCCUCCGCUUCUUUCGCAUGCACCGAUAUGACAAGGAGGCGGGAUUCGGUCGCGAUAUCAGCUAUGUUGGGGGAAGGAGGAGGGAUCGGGGGGGGGGCCGUAUCGCCCAAUGCUGGAAUGGGUCAAGGAUGCCCAAGAUGACUGUUCACCGGCACACACCGAAGCCAGGGUUCUGUGCAGCCUCUCGCUCACUAGUUUCCCGUGUCGUUUUGCUCUGCCGCUAUCGUUUUCCCCGUUUCUCCUCGCUCUCGUGGUGUUGCGCGGCUUUGUCCGCUUUUUCCCCCUCUCUGCCCCAUCGAUGCGAAG
rnacentral:misc_RNA from 1 species